rnacentral:rRNA from 1 species
AUUGAACGCUGGCGGCAGGCCUAACACAUGCAAGUCGAGCGGAUGAAGGGAGCUUGCUCCUGGAUUCAGCGGCGGACGGGUGAGUAAUGCCUAGGAAUCUGCCUGGUAGUGGGGGAUAACGUCCGGAAACGGGCGCUAAUACCGCAUACGUCCUGAGGGAGAAAGUGGGGGAUCGUCGGACCUCACGCUAUCAGAUGAGCCUAGGUCGGAUUAGCUAGUUGGUGGGGUAAAGGCCUACCAAGGCGGCGAUCCGGAACUGGUCUGAGAGGAUGAUCAGUCACACUGGAACUGGGACACGGUCCAGGGUCCUACGGGAGGCAGCAGUGGGGAAUAUUGGACAAUAGGCGAAAGCCUGAUCCAGCCAUGCCGCGUGUGUGAAGAAGGUCUUCGGAUUGUAAAGCACUUUAAGUUGGGAGGAAGGGCAGCAAGUUAAUACCUUGCUGUUUUGACGUUACCAACAGAAUAAGCACCGGCUAACUUCGUG